AUGUCUGCCGUCACGCCGUGCUUGGCCGCGAGGUCUAGCAUCUCCUGGGUGUCCCUCAUGCCGCCGAUGCAGCUCCCGGCCAGGGUCUUAGCAAAUGGAGGGACCUCGAUAGGCUUCUCUGGGAGGCCGACCAUGAUCAUCUUGCCGUUGGGCUUCAGUAGGCCGAAGAGAGGGGCCAUCGGGAUGUUUGCAGACACCGUCUUGUUUGAUGAUCGGACACGUCGGCAUACCUUCAUCUCGUCGGCGUCCUUGCUGACAACAAACGCGUCAGCGCCUAGCCUUUCGAGGGCCUCCUGCUUCUUCCCCGGCGACGAGCUGAUCACCGUCACCUUCAUCCCGAAGGCCUUGCCGAACUUGACGGCGACGUGGCCCAGCCCGCCCAGUCCCAGCACCCCGAGGUGCAUCCCGGGAACGUUCAGCCCGUGA
rnacentral:rRNA from 1 species